rnacentral:tRNA from 1 species
GGGGAUUUAGCUCAGCAGCAUAAGUGCCUGCCUUGCAAGCAGGCAGUCAUAGGUUCGAUCCCCAGUACCCA